ACCUGGGUGGCUCAGUCAGUUGAGUGCCUGACUUUGGCUCAGGUCACGAUCUCCCAGUUUGUGGGUUCGAGCCCCACGUCAAGGCU
rnacentral:tRNA from 1 species